CGCUGCCCAGCCAUCUCAGUCGGUUCUGUCUCCGUCGAAGCCACGGUUCUGCAACCGUCUCCGCCGGUUCUGUCUUCGUGAAGCCCUGCCGCGCAACCUCUGUUUCGAGCCGCCGCCCAUUCCGUUCUCCUCUGUUUUCUGCACUGCCGCGCGACUCUCCGGCCGCGUCAGAUCGUUGAUCGAUUUUGAGGCAGCCGCCACGUCUCCUUUGGCCGACCGCUGACCGACCCACACUUAGGAUUUUUGCUGCGAGUCCGACAGUCGUGCGUUGAGGUGUUGGGAGUAACGUUGGGCUCCCUUAAAUUCACAACCAAUUUGUGAAUUGUUGAGGGUUCAGUUCGCCAAUAUAUCGGAUUGUUUCGAGGACGUUAGUUGAUUAAGGAGCUUCCCCAACUUUGAGGCAAAGGAAAUA